rnacentral:rRNA from 1 species
GGUAGCGAAAUUCCUUGUCGGUUAAAUACCGACCUGCAUGAAUGGCGUAACGAGAUGGGAGCUGUCUCAAAGAGGGAUCCAGUGAAAUUGUAGUGGAGGUGAAAAUUCCUCCUACCCGCGGCAAGACGGAGAGACCCCGUGGACCUUUACUAUAGCUUGACACUGCUAUUUGGAUAAAGAUGUGCAGGAUAGGUGGGAGGCUUUGAGUAUAUGACGCCAGUUGUAUAUGAGCCAUUGUUGAGAUACCACUCUUCUUUAUUUGGGUAGCUAACUAGCCUAAGUUAUCCUUAGGUAGGACAAUGUCUGGUGGGUAGUUUGACUGGGGCGGUCGCCUCCCAAAUAAUAACGGAGGCUUACAAAGGUUGGCUCAGAACGGUUGGAAAUCGUUCGUAGAGUAUAAAGGUAUAAGCCAGCUUAACUGCAAGACAUACAAGUCAAGCAGAGACGAAAGUCGGUCUUAGUGAUCCGGUGGUUCUGUGUGGAAGGGCCAUCGCUCAAAGGAUAAAAGGU